GACGAACGCUGGCGGCGUGACUAAUACAUGCAAGUCGAACGCAGUGGGGACGGGUGAGUAACACGUGGGUAACCUCCCAUCAGAGGGGAUAACACUUGGAAACAGGUGCUAAACCGAUACUGAUGGAUGGACCCGCGGUGCAUUACCAAGUUGGUGAGGUAACGGCUCACCAGGGCCACGAUGCAUAGACUCCCUGAGAGGGUGAUUGGCCACCCUGGUACUGAGACACGGCCCUGACUCCUCCGCGAGGCAGCAGUAGGGAAUCUUCGGCAAUGUACGAAAUUCUGACCGAGCAACGCCGCGUGAGUGACGAAGGUUUUCGGAUCGUAAAACUCUGUUGUUAGAGAAGCGGUAUCUAACCAGAAAGCCACGGCUAACUACGUGCCAGCAGCCGCGGUAAUUC
rnacentral:rRNA from 1 species